GGGGAUGUUUAGGAUUCGACAGGUAUAGGUCGAGCUUAAACUGCGCUUAGUAGGUUGCGACUACUAUAAAACGCUCAGUUAAAUAUAACUGCAAAAAAUAAUAAUAAUUCAUACGCCUUAGCUGCCUAAUCGCGGUAUAGCGUAAAUCUUGAUUAGGAUCGUCCACGUUCUGAUUGAGGUUUUAUAUGCAGUGGACUACGUUGCCAGUUCCCGUCUGAAAUUGGCAAAAGAGAUCGACCAGGCUAGUUGGUAGCGGUGGCUAUGUUACACGGCGGAGUUAUCAAUGAAAUUUAAAUAGUGUGACUAUGAACGUAGAUGUUUAGGUGGCGAUAUGCUUGGACGCGGGUUCGACUCCCGCCAUCUCCAUAA
rfam:Lactobacillus aviarius subsp. araffinosus DSM 20653 NODE_15, whole genome shotgun sequence.